CAUUCUCUAUAGUCUAUAUAUAUAUAUAUAUAUAUAUAUAUAUAUAUAUGCUGUUUGCCCUUUUUUAGACUGCAGCUGAAAGCCAAGCAAUUCUGCAUGAUAACCAGGGUCACCAACAAGGACCUUAAGGAUAGUAAACCGAAGGAACAUAUUUCUCUGUGCGAGCUACAAAUUCAGAUCAAGCCCAGGAGAGAGAAUUCUGUGCUUCAGGUCGACGCGAACCGCCCGUCACAUUCUGAAGUUGGUUGAUGCCUUUGACCGUUGCUCACCCCAUUCUGGACAUGUGGAUGGCUGGCAACAGCAACACGGAGUGCUCGCUCGACAGACGAGCUGCUUCACAUGCUCCCGGCCUUGUGCUCCUCAACAGCUUCCAUGGUACUAAAAUCAAAUCCUGCUUACGGAUGGUACCAAAGGCUCGCUGUUUGUCAAGGAUUGACUGUGAAGUUGCCACUCAUCGUUGAUCAUCUCCAGACAGUAAUACGGGAAAUCAUCUGUCGUUGGAACGUUAUUCUAGAGAUUUACUUUGCUUGGGCUCAAAUGAUUAGCAGCUGGGUGAAUGGACUAAUGAAUGCGCCAAAGUGAUUUUAUAUGAUCCUGCUCCUUCUUUUGUCUAAAGGAAAAAGAAGAGAUAUUGUGAUAUGAGCAUAGUGCUGCCGCGCGAUUAGACUAUAAUUAGUGUGUGUGCGCGCGGAGGCAGAGAUCACAUGUCGGUGAAUGGUGGUCGCGUAGGAGUUAAACAAAGUUGGCGGUCGCCUUUUGGUGUGGCCCUUGAGAAAGACUGGUCACCGGUUUGAUAUAUCCGUGUUAAUUUUCCGUUUGCGCCUUUAUAAACUAAAAAUAUUUUCUGUACUCCGGAGUAUGUAUUAGUAGUCCACACGGCAGUGCAGGUAGUGCGGCACGUUGGUACAGUCCCAUGCAGUCUACCUAGUGCGCGAGACUGAAUUGGCUUCAUCGCCUUGAUCAGUGGCAUUUGCCAGGGGCAGGGGCACUAUCAACUCACUAAACUACGACUAGCUCAGUGAAUUAGUCGCAAUUAGGGUCUAAAAGUACGACUUCUUUGUGAUGCUAAUUCUUCUUUGGCUGCCUUUUUUUUCCUAAUUAAUGGAUUAAUGGAAAGCAGUGUUAC